rnacentral:rRNA from 1 species
GCGAGUGAAGCGGUAACAGCUCAAAUUUGAAAGCUAGCUCUUUUAGGGUUCGCAUUGUAAUUUGUAGAAGAUGCUUCGGGUGUGGCCCCGGUCUAAGUUCCUUGGAACAGGACGUCAUAGAGGGUGAGAAUCCCGUAUGUGACUGGGUGCUUUCGCUCAUGUGAAGCUCUUUCGACGAGUCGAGUUGUUUGGGAAUGCAGCUCAAAAUGGGUGGUAAAUUUCAUCUAAAGCUAAAUAUUGGCCAGAGACCGAUAGCGCACAAGUAGAGUGAUCGAAAGAUGAAAAGCACUUUGGAAAGAGAGUUAAACAGUACGUGAAAUUGUUGAAAGGGAAGCGCUUGCAACCAGACUUGCGCGCUGAUGAUCAUCCGGGCUUCUGUCCGGUGCACUCGUCUGCGCUCAGGCCAGCAUCGGUUUCGGUGGUGGGAUAAAGGCCUUGGGAAUGUAGCUCCUCUCGGGGAGUGUUAUAGCCCUCGGUGCAAUGCCGCCUAUCGGGACCGAGGACCGCGCUUCGGCUAGGAUGCUGGCGUAAUGGUUGUAAGCGACCCGUCUUGAAACACGGACCAAGGAGUCUAACAUCUAUGCGAGUGUUUGGGUGUCAAACCCAUACGCGUAAUGAAAGUGAACGGAGGUGAGAACCCUUAAGGGUGCAUCAUCGACCGGUCCUGAUGUCUUCGGAUGGAUCUGAGUAAGAGCAUAGCUGUUGGGACCCGAAAGAUGGUGAACUAUGCGUGAAUAGGGUGAAGCCAGAGGAAACUCUGGUGGAGGCUCGCAGCGGUUCUGACGUGCAAAU